AUGUUUGAUCAUGUGCCUAAAGCUAAUGGAGUUUAUAUGACAGUUAGCCUUACAUUUGAGUUUAUUACCUGAUCAUAAGUUGAGGACACUUUUUCAGCAACCUCUGAAUCACCUUCGAGAUUUAAAGGAAUUCAAUUCACUUCUAUCAUCUGGCAAUGGGAGGAAUGACUAAAACAGAGGUACACCAAAUUGUGUUACAAUUCCAUAGACUAAGUUACAUUUGUAGAUGCUUCUCACAACAAUAGUCACUAAGUCAAAUGUGACUAA
rnacentral:lncRNA from 1 species